rnacentral:rRNA from 1 species
CCCGCACAAGCGGUGGAGCAUGUGGUUUAAUUCGACGCAACGCGAAGAACCUUACCUAGGUUUGACAUCCCGGGGAGUCUUUUGAAAGAGAGAUGUGCCUUUCGGGGAGCCCGGAGACAGGUGCUGCAUGGCUGUCGUCAGCUCGUGUCGUGAGAUGUUGGGUUAAGUCCCGCAACGAGCGCAACCCUUAUCUUUAGUUACCAGCACUUCGGGUGGGGACUCUAGAGAUACUGCCUCGGUCAACGGGGAGGAAGGUGGGGAUGACGUCAAGUCCUCAUGGCCUUUAUGCCUAGGGCUACACACGUGCUACAAUGGGCGGUACAAAGGGUCGCGAUCCCGCGAGGGGGAGCCAAUCCCAAAAAGCCGUCCCAAGUUCGGAUUGGAGUCUGCAACUCGACUCCAUGAAGUUGGAAUCGCUAGUAAUCGCGGAUCAGCAUGCCCGCGGUCGAAUACGUUCCGGCCUU